UCCUUGUUAGUAUAGUGGUGAGCAUCCCUGCCUGUCACGCGGGUAGACUGGGGUUCGAUUCCCCGAUGGGGAG
rnacentral:tRNA from 1 species